GACGAACGCUGGCGGCGUGCUUAACACAUGCAAGUCGAACGGAAAGGCCCCUUUGGGGGUACUCGAGUGGCGAACGGGUGAGUAACACGUGAGUAACCGGCCCUUGACUUCGGGAUAACUUCAGGAAACUGGGGCUAAUACCGGAUAGGAAUCCUUGCUGCAUGGUGGGGGUUGGAAAGCUUCGGCGGUUUUGGAUGGACUCGCGGCUUAUCAGCUUGUUGGUGGGGUAGUGGCUUACCAAGGCGUUGACGGGUAGCCGGCCUGAGAGGGCGACCGGCCACAUUGGGACUGAGAUACGGCCCAGACUCCUACGGGGGGCAGCAGUGGGGAAUAUUGCACAAUGGGCGGGAGCCUGAUGCAGCAACGCCGCGUGCGGGAUGACGGCCUUCGGGUUGUAAACCGCUUUCAGCAGGGGCGAAGCUUGUGGUGACGGUACCUGCAGAAGAAGCACCGGCUAACUACGUG
rnacentral:rRNA from 1 species